CACGUAGGGGGCAAGCGUUGUCCGGAUUUAUUGGGCGUAAAGAGCUCGUAGGUGGUUCGGUAAGUCGGGUGUUAAACCCCCAGGCUCAACCUGGGGACGCCACUCGAUACUGCUGUGACUAGAGUCCGGUAGGGGAGCGUGGAAUUCCUGGUGUAGCGGUGAAAUGCGCAGAUAUCAGGAGGAACACCGGUGGCGAAGGCGGUGGUCUGGGCCGGCACUGACGCUGAGGAGCGAAAGCGUGGGGAGCGAACAGG
rnacentral:rRNA from 1 species